rnacentral:misc_RNA from 1 species
GAGAACCAAGUCGAGAUGCUGUCGUUUCUAGGAACCAACAAAAUCAAACAGAAUCCAGAUUUCCAUUUCUUCUCAUAUCAGCCAACUGAGCUCGCUUUCUACCCUCUCUCUCGCCGGUGCCAUGGAGGAUCUUCCUUUACAGAAGGUGGCAAUAUCAGGUCCCACGUUAACCUCCAUGAUACAGCGCUUCUCCUCCUCUCUCGGUGACGUAGACGGCAUCCUAUUCGGCCACGUCACCCACAUGCCCUCCACUCUCUCCGACGACUCACCGCAAGCCCGCUCUGACUCCGAUCCCUCUCAACUCGUGGCCAACGUCACUUCCUUCCUUUGCCCCAGCUCACCUCUCUCCUUUUACGAUUCAUUUGGCCGAGUCGACUCUUCUUCUCUCCAUCGAUUCCUGCCCUCUCAAACUCACCACCAGUUCAUUGGCUGG